CAUCACUGGUGUUCGGGUUGUCAUGCCAAUGGCACUGCCCGGUAGCUAAAUGCGGAAGAGAUAAGUGCUGAAAGCAUCUAAGCACGAAACUUGCCCCGAGAUGAGUUCUCCCUGACUCCUUGAGAGUCCUGAAGGAACGUUGAAGACGACGACGUUGAUAGGCCGGGUGUGUAAGCGCAGCGAUGCGUUGAGCUAACCGGUACUAAUGAACCGUGAGGCUUAACCUUACAACGCCGAAG
rnacentral:rRNA from 1 species